AUUGAACGCUGGCGGCAGGCCUAACACAUGCAAGUCGAACGGUAACAGGAAGCAGCUUGCUGCUUUGCUGACGAGUGGCGGACGGGUGAGUAAUGUCUGGGAAACUGCCUGAUGGAGGGGGAUAACUACUGGAAACGGUAGCUAAUACCGCAUAACGUCGCAAGACCAAAGAGGGGGACCUUCGGGCCUCUUGCCAUCGGAUGUGCCCAGAUGGGAUUAGCUAGUAGGUGGGGUAACGGCUCACCUAGGCGACGAUCCCUAGCUGGUCUGAGAGGAUGACCAGCCACACUGGAACUGAGACACGUUCCAGACUCCUACGGGAGGCAGCAGUGGGGAAUAUUGCACAAUGGGCGCAAGCCUGAUGCAGCCAUGCCGCGUGUAUGAAGAAGGCCUUCGGGUUGUAAAGUACUUUCAGCGGGGAGGAAGGGAGUAAAGUUAAUACCUUUGCUCAUUGACGUUACCCGCAGAAGAAGCACCGGCUAACUCCGUG
rnacentral:rRNA from 1 species